GCACGUCCCUCCCCACUGGGCUGCUGCGCACUAACCACUUUCCUCCCGGUCCCUCUCCCCGCCCCCAGCACCCAGCUCUGCCUCCCUUAAACUGAGGGACGAGCUCACAGAAGCUUCCAGAGACCCUGCUCAGCCUGCUGGACAGAAGCCGCCCCCAUCCCUCCUCCACAUUCACAGCGUUAACUGGGAACCUGCGCAGCAGAGCAUCGGCACGCCGCACCACCGUGCCAGCUGAAAAGAGGAAGAAGCAGGAUGGUGUGACCUCCGCUGCUCACUCCCCAUUUCACCAGGCUGAAGCACCCCUCUGACAGCUGGACCCUCGACCGGAUCCCUGACAGCCCCACAAAGCUUCCUGUCCAAGUCUGGUACAUGCUGCUCAGCAGGCCCACAUCCAUGGAUCUGGUCAACAACCGCGGCCUCAACCUGAUCCUCAAUUUCCUGCUUAUUGUGGUGGUGCUGAUUCUCAUGCUCAUCCUGGUGAAGCUCAUGUAACCAUGACUCCGCACUCCUGCCAAGCUGCCGCCAUGGUGGAAUUCACUGGGAGAGGGACCUGAAAAUCAGAGUGUGAUGCUGGACCUCUUCCACCAGGAGGAGCUAGAGACAAUUGCUGCCAUGGCCUGUUCAUUAUCUCCACUGUCUCUCUCAGAUUCAGCAAAAGGUCCCUUUUUUGGAUCUUUUUUUUCUAAAUAGCACCACCAAAUGAUAACACUAAAGUAAUCAUGCUCACUAUCGGUAGUAUUUAAAAAUGUAAGCCAUACAAGCUAAUGAUUUUAUUAAAAAGUAUAAAUUCCAGACUCCCAGGUGACAUGAAAUCCUUGGAUUUGUCUCCCUCUAGUGGCAGUAAAUCACAUCACAUUUGUUUCUUUAAAAAAAAUUAAAAAUCAGUUGUCAACAUAGGGGUAAAACCUAAUAUGACUGGAUAGUAUCACACCAAGCUGUUUUUUGAAAUAUUUUUAAAAAGAUAAGCCACCAAAUAUUCAGGACUAAUCAACAGGACAUGCAGAACGGGUGACGACUAAGAUGUUUCCGUAUAUAAAAGUCAAAACACAAAGUUGCUUUUUUUUAUUUUAUUUUUUUUUAAAAAGGUUUAAAUACUGACUUCUGUUUUACUUUUAAAGUUAAAAGCCAUGUGACAAUAUUUACCAAACGAUAAACUUUCUGCAUGUUUUAGCAACAUCCCUUUAAUUUCUUACAAGCCUUGCGUAAUUAAAGGGUGAUUUGUUUCAGUUACGUAACGUUCUCAUACCAGUGGUCUAUGUGCACAUGCUGUGAGAUGUUGCUGAUUCAGAGGUAGUUUGUAUACCAUUCUGUGAAAAAGCUUAUGAGAAAAAAUCCAACUCAGACCAUCUUAAAUGUGUGACUAGACCCUGUAUCCUCCACCAUGAACAGCUGUAUAUCUGCCACUGUAGCCGAAGAGGGAGAAGCAGGAUGGUGUGACCUCCGCUGCUCACUCCCCAUUUCACCAGGCUGAAGCACCCCUCUGACAGCUGGACCAUCGCCUGCCGGAUUUGUCUCCCCACAAAGCUUCUUGUCUGAGUCUGGUACACGCUGCUCAGCAGGCCCACAUCCAUGGGUCUGGUAGUGGUAGUACAGGUACAAGGAAGAUGUCCCAACAAAACCCAUCGAUAAAUCAGGAGUGCCUCUUACACAGCGGUAAAUGUGUGCCCAGCCACUGACUCCCCCAGCUGCUUUUAACACACUUAAUACAUAAAAGGCACAAGCUAUUUCUUGUUUCCUCGCACUCCAUCAUUGAUCUGUUACAUCUUGUGAAACAUUUGAAGUAAUAAAAUGCUAGUCCCUA